AACGCACAUUGCGCCCCUUGGUAUUCCGAGGGGCAUGCCUGUUCGAGCGUCAUUAUAACCACUCAAGCCUGGCUUGGUAUUGGGGUCCGCGGUCUCGCGGCCCUUAAAAUCAGUGGCGGUGCCAUCUGGCUCUAAGCGUAGUAAUUUUUCUCGCUACAGGGUCUGGUGGUUACUUGCCAUUAACCCCCCAUUUUCUAAGGUUGACCUCGGAUCAGGUAGGGAUACCCGCUGAACUUAA
rnacentral:misc_RNA from 1 species